CAGUAUGGAAUCAAGUUUCCUGGAUAUCCAAGGCAUUGAACUUUUGGUUGGGAGUGAAUUAAAAUGAGUUUCUGCUCCAAGCCAGAAGGACUUUGACAGCUCAGGCCAGCACAGUACCUGCGGCUGCCUCUCGCCUUUCCUAUAAUG
rnacentral:snoRNA from 1 species